rnacentral:lncRNA from 1 species
UACCCGUCACAGCCCACCCUGGCUGAGGAAUGAGCACUAAGCGAUGAGUCAUGAGAGGCAGGUAAAUCCCGCCAUACCAGCCCACCCCUAGACAAAUGACCUUCAGCAGGUGAUGUGCCUUCUCGGAGGCCUCAGUUUCCUCAUCUGAAACCUGAGAGGGUCCAACUAAUUUCUAAGGUGGCUUCCUGCCCCAUCAUCUACUAUUCUAAGAUUGUACCUGGAUCACUUCUCAGCCCUCUACUCAGCUUAUUUCGGGGAGGUAAAACUGAGAUUACAAGGGGUGCCCAAGGAACUUGCCUUGAGACCUGGAAAAGGGCCAACGACAGAAGAUACAGGGAGGGAAGCCUCCCUGCCCAUCCCCCACCUGCCCAGUCCUGGUCAUUGCCACCCACCUUGCUUAUUGCUCUACACAGCCCCCAGCAGGAAAUGAAAAAGUGUCCAUCGUUUGCAAUCACUCCACGGACCAAGUCCUAGAGGGAGGGAAGGAGUCCAACAGCAGGAGAAGACAGGAUGACCCUGCCCUCUGGGAUGUGAGGAAGGAGACACACAAAACAAGGAACUGAAGCAGAG